rnacentral:tRNA from 1 species
AUUACUUUGGCAGAUUAGUGCCAUGAAUUUAGAAUUCAUAUAUGUAGGUUAUACAAGUAAUA